UAUUAUUAUUAUUUUAUUAUUAUUAUUAUUAUUAUUAUUAUUAUUAUUAUUAUUAUUAUUAUUAUUAUUAUUAUUAUUAUUAUUAUUAUUAUUUUUUUAUUUUUUUUUAUUGGGGUAGCUCCCAAAAUAUUGGGACAUAUAAAAAAGACAACUCUGUUCCUCAGAGUAGCUGUUGACAUUAUAGUUGCACAGGCACUUUGUUGACUCUAGAGAACCUCGGACCAGUCGUACAUCCCCGUGACGGCGAAUUUGCAUUUGAAUGUCAUCCAUAUCAACUUUCGACGCCAGUUUCUGCGCCUACCAUGGUGACCACGGGUAACGGAGAAUCAGGGUUCCAUUCCAUACAGGGACCCUGAGAAACAGCUACCAUAUGCAAGGAAGGCAGCAGGCGUGCAAAUGACCCACUCCUGAUGCGGGAAGGUAAUGACGACAAAUAACAAUGCAGGACUCUUUAGAGGCCCUGUAAUUGUAAUGAGUUCACUUCAAAUCCUUUAACUCUGAUCAAUUGGAGGGAAAUCUGUUGCAGAGUCACUGACCCGUGCGUGCUGCAGCUGAAACUCCACUA
rnacentral:rRNA from 1 species